UACAGAGGUCUCGAGCGUUAGGCGGAAUCACUGGGCUUAAAGCGUGUGUAGGUGGAUGCCUAAGUACCUUGUGAAAUCCCACGGCUUAACCGUGGAACUGCUUGGUAUACUGGGUGUCUUGAGUCACUCAGGGGCGAGCGGAACAAUGGUGGAGCGGUGAAAUGCGUAGAUAUCAUUUGGAACGCCAAUGGUGAAAACAGCUCGCUGGGGGUGCACUGACACUGAGACACGAAAGCCAGGGGAGCGAACGGG
rnacentral:rRNA from 1 species